rnacentral:rRNA from 1 species
UACGUAGGUGGCGAGCGUUUUCCGGAAUUACUGGGUGUAAAGGGCGUGUAGGCGGGAAUGUAAGUCAGAUGUGAAAUUCCGGGGCUCAACCCCGGCGCUGCAUCUGAAACUAUGUUUCUUGAGUGCUGGAGAGGAAAGCGGAAUUCCUAGUGUAGCGGUGAAAUGCGUAGAUAUUAGGAGGAACACCAGUGGCGAAGGCGGCUUUCUGGACAGUAACUGACGCUGAGGCGCGAAAGCGUGGGGAGCAAACAGG